UCCUGCCAUGGUAGUGUUGUCAAGCUGGAUGAACAUUCAAGCAGUCCCACUGUGAACUUUGGAUCGCUCGGCUUAGUAGGGUAUGGCUAUAGACCGUAAGCCAUUCAGACAUCCAAAGAUGGAAGGGGAGAGGAAUGACUGGGGAAAACUGCUACUGUGUACAUUCAGUUCUGAUGAAAGUGGAGUAUUUUUGAAGGCACUGGUUGUGUGUUGCCAUAUCAUACAAGUAUGAUAAACAGUGGAUUCAGAUGAGGUCAUGGUGGAAAUGGAAGACACUGGAAGAUCAGAUUCUCAACCAGGGUUGUGAAUAAUCCUUAUCUGAGAGAGGCGGGGAAGAGUGCUGUGGGCAACACCAUCCUGGGCAGAGGGGGUGUUUGACACGGUGUGGGUAAGGACCAGGAAGGUGGUGAGAAGGCAGGGUAAGGUUGCCUAGAGGCAGGUGAACAUGCCUGGUUGGGAGGGGUUCCCCUCCAGGGGCUUCUCUCUGGGGGUCUGCAGGGAGAUUGUCCACAGCAAUCCUGGAGGAGGUCAGGGAGAAGUAGGAGGAGAGGAGGCACCAAGAGGAGGACAGAGAGGAUGGGCUGAGGAGGGUCAGCUGGAGAUGGAGGAGACAGGGGAGGGAGAGAAGGCCACAGAGGAGUCCACGAGAUGGCAGAAAGGGAGAUACACAGAUGAGAAAUCAGACAAUUCCCCUCCAGGAGGGUAAAAAGGCUGCGCCAGGAUUCUCUGGCACUUCCUGAACUUCCAAAUUCCUCUACACAGCGAGUCGUAGAUCCUCUGCCAGGAGUCUAGCUCUGUGCGCCA